GUGGGGAAUAUUGGACAAUGGGCGAAAGCCUGAUCCAGCCAUGCCGCGUGUGUGAAGAAGGUCUUCGGAUUGUAAAGCACUUUAAGUUGGGAGGAAGGGCAGUAAGUUAAUACCUUGCUGUUUUGACGUUACCGACAGAAUAAGCACCGGCUAACUUCGUGCCAGCAGCCGCGGUAAUACGAAGGGUGCAAGCGUUAAUCGGAAUUACUGGGCGUAAAGCGCGCGUAGGUGGUUUUGUAAGUUGGAGGUGAAAUCCCCGGGCUCAACCUGGGAACUGCCCCCAAAACUGCAUGACUAGAGUACGGUAGAGGGUAGUGGAAUUUCCUGUGUAGCGGUGAAAUGCGUAGAUAUAGGAAGGAACACCAGUGGCGAAGGCGACUACCUGGACUGAUACUGACACUGAGGUGCGAAAGCGUGGGGAGCAAACAGGAUUAGAUACCCCUGUAGUCC
rnacentral:rRNA from 1 species